GAUGUGAAGCGUCAGAAGUUUAUAGAGAAAACGGAUAAGAUAAAGAACAAGACGAGCCACUCUGUUUACAAAGUCGGAGGUGUACUAGAACGCAGAGUAGGAUGGAAAAGGGAUCGAUAGCACGAAGAACACGUGCCGUAUAACCCUAAGCAUCAGAAGUGACUAUAUUGCAGAAUUAUGUGGCUCUAUCUAGGCGCGGUUGUAAAAGGGAGUUGGAAACCUGGCGUUCAUUCGUAAUUCAAACUGUUACCGCGUGACCGACCAUGCGACAUCUAAUGGCACCACUGACGCAGAAUCGAUCUUUGACGGUUUUAAUAACGUUAGCAAACUCGACCUUUGGAAUUCUACCAAAAAUGACCAAAUGCCUUCGAAAUUGAAUAACCCUUUAGAUUAUAUUUCCUUAAUUUUAUUAACAUCAUAGUUGACUUUUAUUUAUUUUAUUUAUUUAUUUUUCCCUAGAAAUGAUUGUUGGAAAACCUAACCUAAAUAUUAUCACAAAAAUAUUAAAGAAACAAACUUAAAUGUACAUUUAAUUCGAAGUAAAAAUAUUCCGGCAGAAGAGGACUUAUUGUAUUCGCACAACGAACUGCCUCCAACUGGACCGAACUGGAACUACGCAGUAUCGUUUUUUGUUUGGCCUGGAGAUACCGAGUUCCAUGUGGAACGCUCACAGGAACUCAUGCGAGAGGAGUCGGAAAAUCUUCGGACGUCUCUUUAUGCAAAAAUAUAAAGAACACGAUGGAGGACGCAGAAAUUGGAACGCUCCGUGAUCUAGGACGCAAUUUGGCAAAUUGGACUUGCACAUACUCGCGAGAUAAAGCACAAACAUUCUAAAUAUGAAUGAAGUUAGCAGGCUGAAUAAAUGACCAAAUUUUUCACAUAAUAACCAAGCAUAUUUAUCACGAACUCAAUUUGCACAUGAAGUUUCUAUGUCCAUCCAAUUUUGUCACAUUAAUUCACUCGCAUGCUAACCAACAAGCUUAGAAGAUAAAUGAAUUUCAAAUAUGGGUCGCUUAAAAGACAGUCGUUGCAUCUUCUGAUAAACUCAUCAGCCUGAUGUAAGAGAGUAGAGCUAGAGAGUUUUUCCAAUAGGAAUACAUUACAAUUUUUCUGCUCCAAUAAGUCCAGCAGAUAAGUAAAACUACUGAGGAAUUGAAUAACUUCGUACAUGUUUUAUAAUUCUUGGAAAAAGUACGUAUACACGAAUAUAUAAAAGCACGUAAUAUACAAAUUGUUCGGUUUUAGUGAUAUAAAAUGUUUACAAGAAAUUAUUCUGAGUGAUUAAAUCAAAUAUUAUUCAGAUUAAAAGGUUUGAUCUACAAAAUGAACAAUAUCGAUGAGUCCCAUAAGCAUUGGAAAGAAGUUAUCAAUCGACUUAGAAUUAACAGAAGUUAUCAAUUGACUUAGAAUUAACAGAAAGUUAGUCAUUUAACAAGACCAACAAAUAUCCAAAUCUGUUAACCGUAACCAACAAAAACCAAUUCCGUACACGAGUUACUUAAGUGAUUUUUCCUCUAGCAUAACCUUCUGUCUUGUCCUCGAGUUUCGAUAUUAUCUCGAGCUAAACGAGACAGGCAGCGCUUGAAAUCCGAUAUCGGAAAGGCCAGUAGCUAAACAAACAUAAACGUUCAGAAGAUACCAAUAUUUAUAAAGGUGAAUAAGAUUUGUAGUCUAUAAUAGAAGAUAAAAGUGCCUUUUUCAACAAAGUUGUCAACUUAAUCUUCUCUAAAUGACUUUCAUCAGAUAGACGUGAAAAACAUAAUGAAACUUCCCAACCUAUACAAAACGACUCCUUUAUCACGUAACUUCAAUGAAUAAGGGAAACUUUGAUAAAAAAAAAAAUUUUUUUAGUCUCUGGUUACUCUUUUACAAAGAGCGUAAUUUUCAUACUUAAUUCGACUAAUUCAAUGACGUAACAAAAUUCAGGUUGCCGCCUGAAAUAGUAUCUAACUUGAUCGCAUGCAAUUCUGAUGGGAAUACACCUUCCGACCUAACACAUACAAAGAAAAUGAGCGGGUAAGAUCUUCGAAGAUGGAGCAAAUUCAUUGAUUGAAUGACAAGUACAGAACAAGAGAAAUUCUUCCGCCAUCUUUUUUCGUCUUCAAGUUUCCAUAGUAACCACAUCAGAUGAGCCCAUUAACAAUUUUCUUGGAAAAUCACUAGGGUUAUCCCUACCUAUGUUGGAACAAACUUAACACAUUCAUAAUAACAAAACAAUUUAAUCCUACAAGUGAAGUAAAAAAAAUUAAAAUUCGAAGAGGAUGAGUUUUUUGAGUUAUUUGAAAAGGUUAGUUAAACAAAAAUAAAGUAGGCUACACAGUGCUUCAUCUCGAUUCGAGCGAUUAUUUCGGGUCAGGUGUUUUCAUGGAUUUCUGUAACAAUUUCGUACAACACUGUUUUGCAUCGUGAUGUUAAAUAAUAUCAAACGAUCCAACUACGUGCUCCCUACGUGUACAUUAAAAUGCAUUUUUUUUGGCACCUAAUUACAGUCCAAAAAUUACACAUAAUUACACACCAUUGGAAUUCGUAAGGAUGCCUGUUGCGAACAAAUUUCGCCUUACACGAAUAAUAUUGUAUAGAAAGUCAACAUGCAUGAGAAUUCUAUGAUGAUUCAACGUAACUCAAAAGAAAUGUUAUUUGAAUUAUCGGUUAAUAAUUUGAUGGUAAUAUAAUGUAACUCCCCAGAACGAUUACGGGCAUUUUAAAUUAAUUGAAUAAACCUACCUAAUUCUCGACAGAUGUAAGCUACAAAGCAGCAAUGGGUACGCGAGGUCACACGACCUACCAUUUCGAUGACGAAUCGGUAAAAUUAUAAAUAAGCUACAACACUGCAUACGAAUCCGUAUACAUCAUAGUGGUAUUUGCCAGCAGCUGUAACAAAGGUCGGGCAUCGACUAAGCAUUAUGAUUCACCAUAACGACUCAUUACACUUCACACUAUCAUUAAGAAAUAAUAUAUUCUUAAGUCGCCGAUAAUUAGAUUAUUAGCUUGUCGUUCCACAAACGGAUAAUACAUUAAUGACAAUUCAUAACUUUUCCUUUUCAGCCGAAACUGAUGAAGAAUAAAACGUCAAUAGAAUUGUAAUUAUUUGAAAAGACAAUCUUUUAAAAUCAAGUCAAAUGAAAAAACAAAAAAACAAUUUAUUCAACAUUCUUAGUUUAAAGAUUAGUAAUAAGCCUGAUAAAAUCAAUAAGUUCAAAUAAAACUUUUAAUGAAUCCUUUUAAUCAAUCGUCAUGGAUUAUCUAUAUACAGGUAGUGACUAGCAUUCGAGAUCAGUUCUAACCUAGACCUAACCCAGACCUAGAAUACAGAAAGACAAAAGUUUUCAGUCAGUUCAAUCGAGUAACAGUUAUGUAAUAAACUAAAGAUACUCUAAUGGAUUUAUUUUGGUGACGCAUAAAGCAAUCCUUGAUGUGGGAAUAUAUGGCGGAACAAGUAAACCAAAAACGUCGCCCUAGUUAGUUAAACGAGGGUCGCUAGUCACUCUAGUUGCCUGGGUAGUACUGCCUGCUUACUUAUCGAUAGAAUAACAUGUAAGAAAGCGAUCGAUUGAAGCGCACGAAAUUGUUCGUGCCUUCGCGUUCUACGGACAGAGUAUAGAAUAGUGAGCUCGGCAAAAAACGUUUACAUUCGGAAUCGAUCGGCGCACUCAUGCCCACUACCAUGAAUAAUGGACAGAUAUCAAGAUAUUUUCUCUGAUCCUUUUGAUGAAAAAUUAGAAACACUUUUUAAGUCAUUUAUAAACUGUGAAUAUUUAUGUAAAUUUAGAUUUUUAUCAAAAUGAUUAAAAAAAUGAAACCUAAAUAGGAAUUUCUCUCACCUAGUACAUCUCAUAACACUUUUGGAUAUUUUAUACUUUUUCAUAUUAUAUGCAUUCUGCAAAUUUUGUACUUUUCCUUUUCUUAGUUUUCUAUAAAUGCACGAACAUCCACAAACUCAUAUUUUUAUAACUUAUA